rnacentral:rRNA from 1 species
UACGAAGGGGGCUAGCGUUGUUCGGAAUUACUGGGCGUAAAGCGCGCGCAGGCGGCUAUCCAAGUCAGUGGUGAAAGCCCGGAGCUUAACUCCGGAACUGCCAUUGAAACUGUUUAGCUGGAGUAUGAGAGAGGUGAGUGGAAUUCCCAGUGUAGAGGUGAAAUUCGUAGAUAUUGGGAAGAACACCAGUGGCGAAGGCGGCUACCUGGACCAGCAUUGACACUCAAGCACGAAAGCGUGGGGAGCAAACAGG